UACGUAGGGUGCGAGCGUUGUCCGGAAUUAUUGGGCGUAAAGAGCUUGUAGGCGGUUUGUCGCGUCUGCCGUGAAAAUUCGAGGCUCAACCUCGAACUUGCGGUGGGUACGGGCAGACUAGAGUGUGGUAGGGGAGACUGGAAUUCCUGGUGUAGCGGUGGAAUGCGCAGAUAUCGGGAGGAACACCGGUGGCGAAGGCGGUUCUCUGGGCCUGUACUGACGCUGAGGAGCGAAAGCGUGGGGAGCGAACAGG
rnacentral:rRNA from 1 species